UAGGUUUGUCAAUGUGUGUUAUAGCACAGAAAAGAGAGGUAUUUAUAGGCUCCCAAAACCUCCAAGAUUAGCAAAUAUAAAUCCCUCUUUAAAUAUGAUUUGUGUCCUUUUUUUUCUUUUCAUUUUUCUUGAGAACUAAGUAAUCCUUAUUUGAGAAGGAGAUUGACUUAUUCAACUUUCUAAUUUAGACCAAGACACAUCCAUCCCAUUGGGCUCAUCUAGAAUCUUCUAAUAAGCCUUAUCUUCAUCCUGG
rnacentral:lncRNA from 1 species